GCCCCGAUGGCACAGUUGGAUAGCGCAUUCCCCUCCUAAGGGAAAGGUCAGAGGUUCAAAUCCUCUUCGGGGCGCCA
rnacentral:tRNA from 2 species